rnacentral:lncRNA from 1 species
GUCAGUGGAAGAAAAUCCUCUCAUUUUUUCCCUUUUACCUAGGGUUUUCAAAACCUUUGGUUAUGCCACUUUCUUGGUUUCUUUUACUCCACCAGAGAGGAGAGGUCUUACUCCUCUAAUCCAGCUAUAGGUUUCCUUCCCAUCGUUGGGAUGAGUUAUGGAUUUUUUAUUUUUUUUUUUAUUUUGUUUAACGUUAGUGCUUAACUUUAAGACAUUGGUUUAAUGUUAUUUUGUCUAUUUCUUGGGUUUAGCUUCUUUUCUUUCAGCUGGUGCUCCUUUUUUUAUCCGGCUAGAUGGAGGUAGCUCGUGGGAUCAAAAUGGUUUCAGAAGGCACAAGUGAGUUACCAAUUAUAGUUGUACCGCCUCCAUUUUCUGACUUCAUUUGAGUUGGUCUGUGUUUCUCACCAUGAUUUGUUAUUCUCCAGGUUUUAGGAUCUGCUUCAACAUUUUAGACCGAGAGUUGUCUAAUUGUGCUUUUGAGUUGUAGAUUCUACCUUUGCAUGUAGGCUUUGAGGUUCCCUGUUCUCAUACUAGUUGAUCUAUGAAGCUGAAGUGCAGUAAUUCUUCUCUGUCUUAGAUGAUGUGCUUUGAUAGCUUUUUCUUUUUUUUUCAUCUGGUUUUUUUCUAGUAUUGGGUCUUUUUUUCAUUAUCAGAAUUAUAGUCGGCAAUUUGGAAGGUGUUAUCUUGUAUUUCUAUAAGAAAUUUCCAGAUCAUGAACCCAUUUUUGUAUUAGUAAUCCAAUAAAAAAAUUUUGAUAAAUGAUUUAUCAAUGAUUGGUAAAUUUUU